UUUUUCUAUGUGUUACAGUUUGAUUCACUACUCGUAGGGCCUUCAUUAAAUCAACGUAAAAAUUUGAUGCAUGUGUUCAAAACAAGAUGAAGAUCUAAAGUUAACGAAAUUGCAACUUUUCAUAAUACUGUGUGACCGUGGUGUGGCUUCCAGUUUGAGGAAUGAAAACAUCUAUAUCUGGCAGAUGUGCUGCAAUAUUUAGUCACUAGAUGGCAGUGUCAGACCAUGCUUUGUGUUAUCUAUGCAUUAACAGACUGUGUUUACAGGGUGGCCAACUUUAGAGGAGAAUUAAACCUUUUACAGCAUUGCUCAAACUUUGGUUUUAGUCUCAAUCGCUAAGUUCUUCCUUCAUGACAACUCUGAGGGGGGUGUAUUUUAUUUUAACUCCCUCGUUUAAGCGAUAUAGAUGUUUGAAAUUCACGUGACGUCACAGUGUAAGCUGUGCUGUGUGUUGUGAGUUCGGCUUUCACCAGUUACACGUGAACGCCUCAUGAAAUGGCUUACACCCACAUACCCGGUAAAUUACACACUUUGAUGUUCUGCUCCUUCUCCUGACGGUCACGGUAACGAUGUCUGCGCCUCCGUUUCUGUGGAUGUCCAGCGUGAGACACAACUUGAAUCCAACCAGACUGAACACUGACUCCAGGGACGGACGAGCCUGAAGGACACAGCUGUGAUGACCAAUUGACCAUGUUUUGUCUCUUAUGGCAAAGCACAAAUAUUAAACACUGGGUUCUUAUCUAAAGUGUAUCAAAUCAGAAAGCAAAAGAUACACAUUGUUGUUAUAAGUUUUUAUUAUUUUAACCAACCAUAAUGAAGAUAGAAAUGAAUUCUUAUCCAUGCCACUUAGCAAUGACUGCCACCACCAAACAGUUGCAGGCCAUCUUUAUUUAAGGGAGGAAUUUAGAAGUGUUGUGUAGCUUCUGAUGAUGAUGCAGUCGUCCACGUGUUGACCACCAUGUUGCUGCUGACGACGUCAGGUGCUGCAGUUCCUCAUCUAUGAAGAGAAGAAACGCACUGUUAAAGAAUGUUUUGAGUUGUGUAUGAAGCACAACAGAUUUCAGAUAGAACCGUUGUACUGUGGUCUGGGUUUGUAUCCUAAUGGUUAAAUGCACAUAUUUUAAGUCGCUUUUGAUAAAAGUACUGAAAGAAAUACAACAUUGUAAAAAUAGAUAAAAUGUCUUUUUACCUCAUCUGUAAUAUUCAAGGUGAUAAUCUCCCACAGAGCUAUUGAUAACAGUCCACAUCAAGUCUCUCCACUUCCCUCAGUGUGAAAACAUAAUUAUAUAAUUAAUUUGAGAACUGUUUACAACACUGAUGUGUGGAGAUUAAAAUCAUAUCUAAACUGUCUAAUUCACUGUAAAACUCCAUGACAUUCGCAGGCCAUCUGUAGUUAAGGGAGCAACGUAUGGAGUGAUGUGUAAAGGGCAGAAACUUGGACUAUGGGCAGAGAAGGUCUCUGGUUCGUCUCCGGUUCGACUCCACGGAGAGACAACAAAAGACAAACCUGGAUUGAUCUGUCCAAAAAUCCAAGAGUCUCCCUACCCUCUCUAGUGCCCCUGAGCAAGGCACCUCACUCCCCCAACAUCUGCUCCGUGAGCGCCGUACAUGGUCGCUCACUGCUCUGUGUGUCCUGCACCAGAUGGGUAAAAAGCAGAGAUUAAAUUUCCCUACCUGCAUGAGUGUGCCUUUGCAUGUCUGUGCAUGUGUUUGGGACGAAUAAAUGGAUCUUAAUCUUAAUCUUUUAAUCUUAAUCAGUUGUCUUCCAGUUGACCAGCAUGAAGCUGCAAAUCUCCACCAUGUUGCUGCUGAGGACAUCAGGAGCUGCAUUAAUGAGGAGCAGAAGCGCACUGUUAUGAAUGUUUUGUGUUGUGUAUGAAGCACCACAUAUUUCAGAUAGAACCGAUGUACUGGGGUCUGGGUUUGUAUACUAAUGGUUAAAUGCACAUACUUUAAAUCGCUUUUGAUAAAA